GAUAGCUCAGUCGGUAGAGCAAUCGGCUGUUAACCGAUCGGUCGUAGGUUCGAGUCCUACUC
rnacentral:tRNA from 10 species